UCUUCUUGUAGCUCCCACCUGAAAAUGAAUGUAAAAAGUUGCUCUUAGCUCAACUGGUCACGCUGGCAACAUCAAGUUGAAGUCUUCCAGGCCCCAGCCUUUGGCCCUCAAGGGGGCCACAGUUUUAUUGAGGGCCAGUGCGAGGGCCCAAACAGCAUCAUAAGCCAGAGGAGCUUCCUGAAAACCGCCCGUUUCUUCUGGGUUUUUCCCACCCAGACGUGACAUCAGCUGUGCCAGGAACUCCUGCGAGGUUGGAAGCACCACGGACGGUCUCUGGGUUCAGCAUCACGAUUUCAGUGGUGACGUGUCCUUCCACCGCUUCUGUCAUGUUCUCCACAGUGCAGUUGAUGGCCGGAUCUUUGAUCUUAAACCAGUUGUCUGCAUACCAGCCGAUGAGGAACCAGACAUACUUCUUACCGUAGAGUUUCUCUUUGAAGACCUGCCAAAGUUGACACCAUGUUUUUAAGGAAUCUACAAAAACACCUCCUUAUCUUUAAAAGAUCUACAGGGAUGCAAGUUUGUUUGAACUGUGGUUUCACUGGUGGCUGUUGCCAUGCCAACCUUCCUCUCCGAUUCUUCCUCUAUACCGAGUGCGAUUGCAAAGCAGAGUGCGGUUCACCAAUCACAACUAUGAUACAACACAUUUUGGUCCAGUUUGAGCACUUUUUAACGGUUUCCUCACCUGUAUGAGGUGCCCACACCUGUCACAAAAAAUUAAGGAACUGAAUCGGGACACUAUGAACUUGAAAGUGCUACAUCUAUUUCUGUUAUACUCAAAUAAAUGAAU